UACGUAGGGUGCAAGCGUUGUCCGGAAUUAUUGGGCGUAAAGAGCUCGUAGGCGGCUUGUCGCGUCGGAUGUGAAAGCCCGGGGCUUAACUCCGGGUCUGCAUUCGAUACGGGCAGGCUAGAGUUCGGUAGGGGAGAGUCGGAAUUCCUGGUGUAGCGGUGAAAUGCGCAGAUAUCAGGAGGAACACCGGUGGCGAAGGCGGAUCUCUGGGCCGAUACUGACGCUGAGGAGCGAAAGCGUGGGGAGCGAACAGG
rnacentral:rRNA from 1 species